rnacentral:rRNA from 1 species
ACCUACAACCACACCACCCUGAAAGGGCCAGGUCUUGUCUGAUGUUGGAAGCUAAGCAGGGUUGGGCCUGGUUAACACUUGGAUGGGAGAAUUAAUUGUCCCCCACGCUGCGCCCUGAAGCUGAGCUC